CUUUAAAUUGAAGCAAUUACUUUUUCUAUGUAAUUACUAAUAUGUUUAUGAUAGAAGUUCAUUGAAAUGUAUAGACUUUUGGGUCUUAGUCACUGCUUAGUGUAUUAAUAGAACUGUGUGGUGACUUUUUUGUAAAUUCUUUUUUGUUUUGGAGGCUUUCGGUCCAGCCCAGCCUCGAAUUCACUGAGAUCCCCCUGCCUCUGCCUCCCGAGUGCUGGGAUUAAAGGCGUGCGCCACCACCACCCAGCUGUAAAUUCUUUAUAAUAAAGUGAUUUCAUUAAGAAAGAAUAUGAUUAAACUAAUUGUAUUAUAUUUCAUUAUAUUCAUUUCCCUUCGUUACAUCAUUUAAAAUUAAUUUAGAUAUAUUGAUCCCCCUUAAUUUGCUUGUGAAUUAUACCUUCCUCUCUCUCUGUUCUCUGUCUCUCUGUUCUCUGUGUCUCUCUGUACUCUCUCUCUCUCUCUCUCUCUCUCUCUCUCUCUCUGUGUGUGUGUGUGUGUGUGUGUGUGUGUGUGUGUGUGUGAAGGUCUCCUGUACCUAAGGUUGGUCAUGAACUUACUACAUAACCGAGGAUAACCUCAAGUUCUAAUCCUCCUGCCUUUACUUUCUGAAUGCAGAGAUUGCAUGUGUGAGUCACAAUACCCAAUGAAUGCAGUAUUGAGGACUGAAAGCAAGGCUUCCUGCAUACUUGACUGGUUCUCCUAACUGAGGCUACCCGGGGACUUAGACACUUCGGCUUUAAUCUCCUACUGUUGGAAGUGAAGGAUUUCCCCAUCAAGAAGUGCUACAGACACCUAAGAGAGUCACGAAGUCCAAGAUUUCAUCUAUUCACACUUCCAGAGGAGCAAAUGACUGAGACAGCUGAUGGAUCCUUGUCACUCGCUGAAUGUAGAUAUGGUCAGAAUACAUGAAAGUUAUGUAUAUAAUUAUGUAUAUGCCAGAACAGCCUUCUGAAGUUUUGCAAGUUAACUUCAUAGUCUUCUGAGUCUACUUCCUAAAAAUAAGAAUAUUGCCUUAUUUAGAAGCAAACUUUAAAGUGACACUUUUUCUAAUUUUCCUCUAUAUUCUAAUUUAGUUGUUGACCCAGUGGUACCUUUUAUGCCAUUAUUUUCUCUCUAAUAUAAGACUCAUCUUAGGAUCACAUUUUGCAUAAUCUCUUUGGUCUCCUUUAUGAUGGGGUUUUCUGGGAAGCUUUUCUUUGUCUUUGAUAACACUAAUAUUUUUGAAACUAUAUUUCUAGUCUUAAUAAUAAAAAAGCCUUUGCCUUGUCUGUGUGAUGUUUCCAAAUGAGUCUGUAGCUAUGUGUAUUGUUUCAAACAGUAAGUAAAUGCAACCAUGUUCUUCCCAGUGUCACAUGUGGAGGCAACUUACACCUACCCCUCCUCAAUGCUAAUUUUAGUUCAAUUGCUUGGAUAAUUACUGAAUCUCACUACCAAAUGGUUACCAGUUUUUCUCUUAUAAUAGUAGUAAGAAAUGUGUGGGGACAUAACAUAUUGCAAAUAUAAUAUACAAGAGGAAUGAUGUUUAAAUAAG